rnacentral:lncRNA from 10 species
UUUUGGUGCUCAGCUGUUUACGUCUGACUCCUUGACUUCUUUGGUACAGUGAUGGAGUCAGAUCUCAUUAAGUGUGAUUCUCCAUGAUAUAACUAGCCUCAAAAAAAUGUGUAUUCCACUCCAGUUGUAAAUAUCUUUAGAUCAGCUUUUCAUUGCAUUUGAUGGGGAGAACACAGAAAUGAUAGUCUGCAAAUCAUCCAGGUGAAUUGUUAUACUAGUUAUUUUUUGGUGGUUAAUGUGAUAAUAUUGUCUUAUUUAAAACCACAAAUGAAUUUCAGGAGACGAAACCAGACAGAGGGUCAAGUUUACAGAUGACCGUGUCUGCAAGAGUCACCUUCUGGACUGCUGCCCCCAUGACAUCCUGGCUGGGACGCGCAUGGAUUUAGGAGAAUGUACCAAAAUCCACGACUUGGCCCUCCGAGCAGAUUAUGAGAUUGCAAGUAAAGAAAGAGACCUGUUUUUUGAAUUAGAUGUAAGUUUUAUUUAAUGUUGAUUUAUUCCUACUGCGAAGAACCCAAUAUUGAACUAACAAGAAAAAUGUAACAUACGUAAGUUAUGAAGCAAAAUAAUAAGGUAGUUGCUUGUUAUCCUGCCACUCAAGCUCAGAGCUAGAAUACAGCCAGUACUGUUUAUAUGUUGUGUCCAGCGUCCUGUCAGUGUCCUAAAUGAUAAUAUGUGUUAUCUCAUUUUGUUGCUUUUAAAAAUUUUAAUUACAUUUUUAUGAGUCCUUGAACAGUGUUUAUUUUUGCUUAGUUUUGAAUGGUUUCAUAGUGUAGAGUCUUUAAAAUUAGAUUUUUUUGGUUCAGUAUCAUGUUUCUGUUUGCCCAGGUUGUUGCAUAUAGUUUUCAUUGCUGCUUGAAUAAUUCUCAAACGAUCUUUGCUUUAUUCAUAGACAUUUAGAUUGAUUCUAGUUUUGCUACUGCAGACAAUAUGAAUAUUUUUGCAUAACU